UGACUCUGGUUUCUCUUCAUUACGCACAAGCCUUUUGCCUUUUACUAAAGACUUCCAGGGAGAGGAACACUGAUUAGUUCAAAGAAAAAUAUGUUAGCGAAAAAGCAGGUCCACA
ensembl:snRNA U5 U5 spliceosomal RNA